AAUCCAUCAACCAUCUCCAAUUUAUUCUUUACACUUAGGAUUAUGACCAAGUUCACGUACUUAAAAGGGAGAAACCACAGAGACAUCACACUGAAAGUUUCUCUGCUUUGGGCCAGCAGGAAAUUCCAGUUGCUUCAUUCACCGGAGCCAGUUAAGCUGCUGAAAUGAAAUGGAUCACCGGAGAGAUCACUAUAUCAGGACAUAGACUUGACUUUCAGGGUUGGAGGAAGCCGGACAAAGAUGAAUGGGAUUCAGAGCCUGAACUCAAGGUCAACGUCUUCUGAAUCACAAAGAGCUGGUGGGUCAGUCUGGGAGAAGAAAGAAAAUUCUGCGCCAAAUGGGAAAACCCUUAAAGUCUGCAUAGUUUUGCUUGUCGGGUCUCCUAUGGACAGAAGUGCGGGCAAGGAGCUUUGUUCCUCCCCGAUGUCACCCUCCCACAGCCCACUUGCUAGCAGGCAAGAGAGGGGUGGAGGCCGGCAGUAAGGCAUGUACUGAACUGGACCUCUGGUGGAAUGGGUCACCCACGCUGGGCUUGAUUCCACAUAUGGUAUCUGAGACUCACACAGUGUGGUUGGAAGAUAGCACAGUGACCUCCCAGGCACAGCCCUCUGCCAGCCCUCCACUGGCUGCCCUAGGAUGCUGGCCUUCCUCCGAUGGGAGUCGGGCCCAGUCUGCUGUGAGCCAGGAGAAGCCAGCAAGCUCCCUGCGAGGCCUGGAGGAGCCCUUCUCACUCAGCUUGGUGUUCGAUGCCAGUGCCCCCGCCCAUUGUGGGGUGAGGGUGGGACUCUCAGCACAGCCCUGUCCAAAUAAAUCCUCUAAAGCCCUCUUCCAUCUGCAGUCACUUGAGUCUUUUGUAGCCUGUGUGAUUGAGCAUCUAAGCAGUCCUCAGCUAUUUACUUUGAAAUUUCGUAAGUGAUUUUGGUAUCUGUCAUUUCUUGAUGCAUCAGUCACAACUCCCCAUCUAACAUCCCAUUAAAUAAUAUAUAAAACAGAACAAAAACAUUGUGCCAACUUCUUCUAAGAAGAAUUUAAUGUCACUUCCUAAGUUAAGCAGUUGGGCCCUGUCCCAUGACUGUUCAUCUCUGCUCAAUAGUCAUCAAGAGCUGAGAAAGAAGAAAGGAGCCCUGGGGGCCU
rnacentral:lncRNA from 1 species